AUAAAGGAGUCAGGACAGGAGGUCAUUACAGAGAGUGAGCAGUAGUAUGAAGAAAAUAAAACUCAUAGACGCGUGAAGAGUAAGUUGGGAGAGGUGGGCUACUUCUACACUGGAUGGUCCUGAAGGUUUCUCCAAGGAGGAAGUGAAUGUAAACCCGUGUAGCCCAGCGCCUGGCAGGAGUUAAGAGCACCACACAUGCUGUUCCAUUAAAAUAUGUAUAUAUACAAUUAUUUAUGUCUGGGACAGCCAGUGGAGUUUGCAAGCUGAUAUUCUGGCGUUAUGAUCAUCUCCCCGGCCCUCUUUUCUUCAGCCUCCAAGCAAUGGAGCAAACAGUAAAGCAAAGUACUUGGAGAGAAGUCUUUGUCGUUCUUCAGGAGGCUUCACAGGAAGAGGUUUCCUUCCCGGAUUCUGUGAUAAGCUGUGAUUCCCUGGGUGUAAACAGAAGGGAGUUGAAAUGGACUCAUUCGGUGAUCGUGAAUAGUGAUUCCUAAGUUAUGGACUGAGAACUCCUCGGAGCAAUGGCUAAGGAAACAUUGCAAGAGAUCCUUGGAUCUGUUGUCUGCGGAGUGGAUAAGGGCCCACGACAGCGUUUUCAUCUAUAAGUGGGUCUUCGGCCUUGAGAAGGAAUCUUGGCCAUCACUGAGGUGAAGUACAGUGACGGAUGUGUUGGGGCACCUGGGUGGCUCAGUCCGUUCAGCGUUCCGACCCUUGAUAGUGGCUCAGAUCAUGAUCUCACGGUUUGGGAGU